rnacentral:misc_RNA from 1 species
GAAAUGCGAUAAGUAAUGUGAAUUGCAGAAUUCAGUGAAUCAUCGAAUCUUUGAACGCACAUUGCGCCCUUUGGUAUUCCGGAGGGCAUGCCUGUUCGAGCGUCAUUUCAACCCUCAAGCCUGGCUUGGUAUUGGACGUCCUCUCAACCGGAGGUGUCUGGAAAUCAGUGGCGGCAUAUCCAAACCUUUGAGCGCAGUAAAUAUUUCGUUCUGCAGGGGGAGGCGACUGUCUGUCAACAAAUCCAAUCUCUAUGGUUGACCUCGGAUCAGGUAGGAUUACCCGCUGAACUUAA